GAUGAACGCUGGCGGCGUGCCUAAUACAUGCAAGUCGAGCGAACAGACGAGGAGCUUGCUCCUCUGACGUUAGCGGCGGACGGGUGAGUAACACGUGGAUAACCUACCUAUAAGACUGGGAUAACUUCGGGAAACCGGAGCUAAUACCGGAUAAUAUAUUGAACCGCAUGGUUCAAUAGUGAAAGACGGUUUUGCUGCCACUUAUAGAUGGAUCCGCGCCGCAUUAGCUAGUUGGUAAGGUAACGGCUUACCAAGGCAACGAUGCGUAGCCGACCUGAGAGGGUGAUCGGCCACACGGGAACUGAGACGCGGUCCAGACUCCUACGGGAGGCAGCAGUAGAGAAUCUUCCGCAAUGGACGAAAGCCUGACGGAGCAACGCCGCGUGAGUGAUGAAGGUCUUCGGAUCGUAAAACGCUGAUAUUAGGGAAGAACAAAUGUGUAAGUAACUAUGCUCGUCUUGACGGUACCGAAUCAGAAAGCCACGGCUAACUACGUG
rnacentral:rRNA from 1 species